GGUCCGUUGGUCAAGGGGUUAAGACACCGCUUUUUCACGGCGGUAACACGGGUUCGAAUCCCGUACGGACUA
rnacentral:tRNA from 3 species